GGCCUGGGACUCCGGGCUCGGAUUCGGCAGGGCCGCCACCCGCUGAGCUCCAGCGCGUAACCCGGAACCGACGCGGCGUCGCUUUUAGGUGUCCCCGAAGGGGAGGAGAGGACUCUCAAGCCUCGGUUAACAGCGAGGGCCUUUGCACUACCUCUAAGGCACUUUGGAUUUGUUGGAGGAAAGAAGAAGGAAUAAAGGAGAAGAAGACAGAAGUAGUUUGUGAAGCAGUCACAAAGUCAACGGUUGUAAACGAAACAGCAAGGGUCAGGAAUCAGGAGACCAGAGUUCUCUUUCCAGUAAUUUGCCAGCAUAAUUUGGACAGAUACCAUGAGGACAGCGAUCAUGACUACAGUAUCCUAAGGUCCAGCAGUGCCUUAAAUACAGGACUUUUAAAAUAAAUAUUUGUUGACAAAAUUAAAGAAGGGUUUGGAGAGGAGAGAAAGAAGAAAACACAAUAUGGAGUUCUGGAGAUCCAGUUAGUCCAGAAGAGUAGCCCUGGAUUUUCCUCAGCUCUGCGAGUGACUAGAUCCUACAAUGAAAUUUAUUUCUUGCACCUCCUGCGACGAAUUUGUUGGCAAGAACUGCAGAAAGAAUUUAGGUUCCUGUCACUCCAGAUAUCCUGAUUUUGCAUGCCAGACCAAAGAAGUAUAUUCUCAACAUUUCACCGGAGAAUAUAUCUACCGAUAUUCUAUCCUGGGCUGCCCAAGAAGAUGUGUGGAGUAUAUACACAUCACCAAGUGGGAGAAAAACGUGUUCUUCUGUUGUAAUACAAGCUACUGCAAUAGCUUAUCAGUAAAGGAUGAGGUUCCAUUCAAUUCCAUCGCAUCAGAGGAUUUAGCUUGAGAUAUUCAGCUAAUGUUCAGGGACUUCCUCUUGUCUGCAUUCUGCUCAUCAUUCUUUAAAAAAACAUCAAGACCCAGAAAUACUUUCACGCUCAACCACCACCCACAUUGCCUCCUGAGAGCCAAGAGGCCCAAGAGAAAUAAACUAUGGAUGAAAAAGAAAUGUAGUGCAACUUUGAAAUGCUGUCUGGGCCCAAGUUAGACAACCA